CAGGGCCCACUGUCCUCACACAGAGGCAGGAAUGAGCAGCGGGAGGAAUGCCCACUCUGAAGCAAGACACGGCGGCAUGAGCAUCUGAGCUCCGCCCUCCUAGCUGUGCCGUCUUGGUUGAAAAGCCUGAAGAGCAAAGCUGAGGUUUCUUGAGGAAGAAGAAAUUCUGCUUCAACAUGACAGCUCCUGCCUGAGACUUUCCAGCCUUCUGACUGCCCUGUGGAUUUUGAACCUGCCAGCCUCACCACCAUGGUAACGAGGAUGCUUUGAUGCUGUCAUAAUGUCGCAGGUCUUGCACUGCUCCCUGCUCGGUAGCUGAUUUUCACCCUGUGCCUCUUUGACAGUUCCUUGGGAAGGCUACCUGCCACCUCUGCAUCACCUGAGGCACUGUCACCUAUGCAUACUUUGCUGAUUUUUGUGAGUCAAAACUGAACCUCAAGAACAUACGAUAAUGGGAGAGAGACCACAGAGAGCUGAACCUCAUUCUGACUGAGCAAAGGCCCUAUGAGAAGGUGGUUCACUGGCUGAGAACUUACGAUGUACUUACAUCGACUGUACCCACUUUGUAUAAGAAAACUGGUUUUUGCUGGCCAAACAGGUUGAAUGUUGGUAAUUACAUAUGCUUCACCCUAAUACUCUUCCUCACUAUAAAAGAUCUAUAAAUAUUUUAAAAUAAAAAUAUUUCUGUGAUGA